rnacentral:lncRNA from 1 species
AGGGGAGAGUCGGAUUAACAAGAGGACAAAUGGAGAGGAGCUUGACAAGGAAGAAGAGAGAGUGUGCACGGAUGCCCCUCUUCCAUUAGUGGCAGAAGUCUCACCCUUGAUUUUAGGUAGUCUGUUUAAAAUUGACGUUUGAGGAAACAUGAUAAAAUAAGAAGCCCACUCCAUACUAGAAUGUAAGAGGCCUCGAUCGGAAGAAAAAAAGAAGGCUUGUUCGUGAUACAGUAGUAGC